rnacentral:rRNA from 1 species
CGGCAACAGCUCAAAUUUGAAAUCUGGCCCCUAGGGCCCGAGUUGUAAUUUGCAGAGGAUGCUUUGGGUACCGCACUGGUUUAAAUUUCUUGGAACAGAAUGUCAGAGAGGGUGAGAAUCCCGUCU